rnacentral:rRNA from 1 species
GCAAGGAAUCUUGCGCAAUGGGCGAAAGCCUGACGCAGCGACGCCGCGUGGGGGACGAAGACCUUCGGGUUGUAAACCCCUUUUGUGAGGGACGAAUAAUGACGGUACCUCAUGAAUAAGUCUCGGCUAACUACGUGCCAGCAGCCGCGGUAAUACGUAGGAGGCAAGCGUUAUCCGGAUUUAUUGGGCGUAAAGAGCGCGUAGGCGGCUUAACAAGUCGGAUGUGAAAUCUCCCGGCUUAACUGGGAGGGGUCAUUCGAUACUGUUGAGCUAGAGGGCAGCAGAAGGAGAUGGAAUUCCCGGUGUAGUGGUGAAAUGCGUAGAUAUCGGGAGGAACACCAGUGGCGAAGGCGGUCUUCUAGGCUGUUACUGACGCUGAGGUGCGAAAGCGUGGGGAGCGAACAGGAUUAGAUACCCUGGUAGUCC